rnacentral:rRNA from 1 species
GACGAACGCUGGCGGCGUGCUUAACACAUGCAAGUCGAACGGAAAGGCCCCUUCGGGGUUGCUCGAUUGGCGAACGGGAGAGUAACACGGGAGUAACCUGCCCUUGUCUUCUGCAUAACUUCAGGAAACUGGGGCUAGUACCUGAGAGGAAUUCUUGCUGGAUGUGGGGGGUGGGAAAGCUUGGGGGGUUUGGUAUUGACUCGCGUCUGGUGGGGCUGGUGGUGGGUUAGUGGCUUGCCGAGGCUUUGACGGGUAGGCGGACUGCGAGGGCGACAGGCCAAAUCGGCACUGAGACACGGCCCAGACUCCUACGGGGGGCAGCAGUGGGGAAGAUUGCACAAUGGGCAGAAGCGUGAUGCAGCAACGGCGCGUGCGGGAUGACGGCCUUCGGGUUGUAAGCGGCGUUCAGCAGGGGCGAAGAUUGUGGUGACGGUACCUGCAGAAGAAGCACCGGCUAACUACGUG